GGAGAUGCAACAAGGACACUGAUGCAUGUAUGUAAAAAUUUUUUGUUUGAAGGUGCCAUGUGUGUUAAGAAAAACCCGCGCGUGAGGGAUCCUGGUCCGACGCAGGUAAGUCCACCAUCCCAGGGGUGAUAACUCUCAUACCUCCCUAGGCCUAAGUAUGAGAGCUUUCCGACAUUAACGAGGACUAUGUCAACUCGUCGUCGGACACACUGCGGCUUCAUCCUUACACCCUCACGCCUGUGAAGAAAGGCAAUGAAUUAUCGGUGCAAGAGUGCAGUUAUUCUAGUAAGAUUAGUUACACCGCUGGAGAAGUUGGCAGUAUUGUUGCCGAUCUCCCUUAUGCUCGUAAUCGAUAAGUUUCGGAACGCAGCUCUCUCUGUCUCGCGCCAUUCCAUGUGGAACGUGUGUUUAUUUUAUCCUCUGUACUAAUAAAGAUUCGUACAAUUAUACCACUGCGUACUGGUUUAUUUCGGUUAAACCUAACAACGCCCACCUGCAAGGCAGCGCGCCUUCGCUGGCAUCGUUACCUCAACAAACCUGAGAACGAAUCAUUCUACACAUCCCCUUUCGGGGCAGUUGUCAUCGUUACAGUAUCUGUCAAGGCAGCAGGAUUUUAUGCUAAAAAAAUGACUAACAAGUUCUAUGUACCCAACGCUGAAUACAAAAGUUUAUAUCAGGAAACAAAAUGCAAUCUGACCGAGUCAAACCGACUCCGGAUUCGGAUUCAGCGACCCCAAAAACGUAUAGAAAUGUAUGUCUCGUCUGGUGGACAAAACCUUUUUUUUUUCGUGUGCCUGUGUUAUCAACAAUAUUAGAAGAGGGACUUGUGAGUUAUGCGAACCAAUUGAUACUAUUAAGGUUCAUUGAUCAUAUGAAGUUUGCACACGUCAAGCUUGAUAUCCUAAAGAUCACAAUUCAUUCUGAAAACGAUACCGUGCAGGUUCGUUGGCGUAUACGUGGUGUCGUCACAGGCUGGAAGGUAUUUUCUAUGUUUUGGAAGUAAAAUUUGGAAAAUACAACAUGUCAUAAAAUAAGCGCUAACCAGGAAAUGUGGUACGACGGCUUUUUUACGUUAAUGCUGAAUGGAAAAGUCUAUAAGCAUAUUGCGGACAAGAUGAUGCCUAAUCAGGAUACAGCCACAAAAAAGAAAGAUAUGCGCAUGGCAAGGAAAUUAGCGCUAUUCACAGGCCUUGUAAGCAUAUUUAGUAACAACGAGGAUUCUUUGAAUUGAGCUCUGUCUUAAAAUCGCAUCAAUUGAAGUGAAUCCACUGCUGAGUGCUGAAAUUAUACGAUUUUAUCCGUCACAACGAAUAGACCAAGAUGAGGAAUGCUUUUUCCAGUCGAUGGUUUCGAAUGUUGCUGACGUAUCUAUUUCGUUGCAAAUGCAUCAUUAUAAAAUGAUGAUCGGUAGUAAAUGAGAGAUAUGUGAAUUAAAAAGAU